GGGGAUGAUAGGCUUCGACGGAAGAGGCUGGUCCCGGAUUGCGAGCCGAGAGACGCCGACCUCGUUAAAUCAGCGUAAAUAAACAAGUGCCAAUCGCACUUCAGUUUCCGCUCUUCCCCUCGCUGCAUAAUCAGUGAGACUAAGAGUUAGAUCCAAAGAUUGGGUCUCGUCCACCUACCCCGUUCUCCGACCGGUGGUGGGAUUGGGCGACAGAAAGUCGGAGUGCCGCACGCUACGUCACUAACCGUGCGCAAGAGGGGCUUUCGGGUCCCAGUGACUGGCUGAAAGGUUUUCAUUGUCAUUCAUGAGCCAAUCAGCGAGAACAAGAGAAUGACUACGCUCGUAGAUAUCCGCGGGUCUAUUCUUUCGGACGCGGGUUCGAUUCCCGCCAUCUCCACAA
rnacentral:tmRNA from 1 species